rnacentral:rRNA from 1 species
GACGAACGCUGGCGGCGUGCCUAAUACAUGCAAGUCGAGCGGAUGACGGAGGAGCUUGCUCCUCCUGAUUCAGCGGCGGACGGGUGAGUAACACGUGGGCAACCUGCCCUGUAGAUUGGGAUAACUCCGGGAAACCGGGGCUAAUACCGAAUAAUCCUUCGGACCUCAUGGUCCGAUGUUGAAAGACGGUUUCGGCUGUCACUUAUAGAUGGGCCCGCGGCGCAUUAGCUAGUUGGUGAGGUAACGGCUCACCAAGGCGACGAUGCGUAGCCGACCUGAGAGGGUGAUCGGCCACACUGGGACUGAGACACGGCCCAGACUCCUACGGGAGGCAGCAGUAGGGAAUCUUCCGCAAUGGACGAAAGUCUGACGGAGCAACGCCGCGUGAGUGAUGAAGGUUUUCGGAUCGCAAAACUCUGUUGUUAGGGAAGAACAAGUACCAGAGUAACUGCUGGUACCUUGACGGUACCUAACCAGAAAGCCACGGCUAACUACGUGCCAGCCGCCGCCGUAA